CCAUGCAAGUGUAAGUAUAAGGAAAUUUUACAACGAAACUGCGAAUGGCUCGGUACAACAGUAAUAAUCUCUUCGGUGAUACAUUACUAGACGGAUAUCCCUGGUAAUUCUAGAGCUAAUACGUGCCAAAACGCGCCGCAAGGCGCGGUACUUGUUAGAUAAGAGACCAAACUUCUCUUUUUGAGGGGUUUUUGGUGAUUCAUUGCAAUUUUUCUGAUCGCAUGUCCUCGUGACGGCGACGCACCGUUUGAAUUUCUGACCUAUCAAGUUUUGAUGGUAAGAUAGAGUCUUACCAUGCUAGUGACGGGUGACGGGGAAUUAGGGUUUGAUUCCGGAGAGGGAGCCUGAGAAACGGCUACCACAUCCAAGGAAGGCAGCAGGCGCGCAAACUACCCAAUCCUAACUCAGGGAGGUGGUGACAAAGAGUAUCAAUGGAGGGGCCAUCGGCUCUUCUACUUGGAAUGAGUACAGAGUAAACAAUUUAACGAGAACCAAUAGGAGGGCAAGCCAAGUGCCAGCAGCCGCGGUAAUACUUACUCCUAGGGUGUUUGUUCACAGUGCUGCAGUUAAAAAGUUCGUAGUCGGACCUAUGGGCUGGGCGGCGGUGUGGGCGCAAGCCUGUGUUGUCGCUCGGCUCUUUUGGGGAAGUUGCCUGGAGUGAGGUCUUAAUCAGCUUUGCUCCAGGCGUCCCCCGUUUACUGUGAAGAAAUGAGAGUGUUCAAAGCAGGCGAUGAGCCGUGAAUACCAUAGCAUGGAAUAAUAGAAUAGGGCCGUGGCGCCUAUUUUGUUGGUUUCGAGGUGCCGGGUAAUGAUUAAGAGGGACGGUUGGGGGCAUUUGUAUUGCAUCGUCAGAGGUGAAAUUCUUAGAUUGAUGUAAGACAAACAGCUGCGAAAGCGUCUGUCAAGGACGUUUUCAUUGAUCAAGAACGAAAGUAAGGGGAUCGAAGACGAUCAGAUACCGUCGUAGUCUUUACUAUAAACGAUAAGAACUGGGGAUCGGAAGAGUAUUUUUAUAUGGCUCCUCCGGCACCCUCCGGGAAACCAAAGUGUUUGCUUUCUGGGGGGAGUAUGGUCGCAAGGCUGAAACUUAAAGAAAUUGACGGAAGGGCAUCACCGGGUGUGGAGCCUGCGGCUUAAUUUGACUCAACACGGGAAAACUUACCAGGUCCGGACAUAGUGAGGAUUGACAGAUUGAGAGCUCUUUCUUGAUUCUAUGGUUGGUGGUGCAUGGCCGUUCUUAGUUGGUGGAGUGAUUUGUCUGGUUAAUUCCGUUAACGAGCGAGACCUGGGCGUAGUAGCUAGGAGACUGGUGCAUUCAUGUACCUGCUUUUCUCCUUCCUACACGGACUGCUGGCGAAUAGUCAGCGGAAGCCCCAGGCAAUAACAGGUCUGUGAUGCCCUUUGAUGUUCUGGGCCGCACGCGCGCUACACUGAGCAGUCCACCGGGCGAGGAUGGCCGAAAGGUUUUCCGGACCCCUAAAUCUGCUCGUGCUGGGGAUGGAGGCUUGCAAUUGUCCCUCUUGAACGAGGAAUACCUUGUAAGCGUGAGUCAUCAGCUCGCGCUGAAUACGUCCCUGCCCUUUGUACACACCGCCCGUCGCUCCUACCGAUUGGAUGAGGAGGUGAGGACUUGGGAGGUGCUCGUUCGGACACUUUCCGUGUCUGAGCUGGCGCUGAACUCGUUCGAACCUUAUCAUUUAGAGGAAGGAGAAGUCGUAACAAGGUUUCC
rnacentral:rRNA from 1 species